GAUGAAGAACGCAGUGAAAUGCGAUAAGUAGUUUGAAUUGCAGAAUUCAGUGAAUCAUCGAAUCUUUGAACGCACAUUGCGCCCCUUGGUAUUCCAUGGGGCAUGCCUGUUCGAGCGUCAUUUGUACCUUCAAGCUUUGCUUGGUGUUGGGUGUUUGUCUCGCCUUUGCGUGUAGACUCGCCUUAAAAUAAUUGGCAGCCGGCGUAUUGAUUUCGGAGCGCAGUACAUCUCGCGCUUUGCACUCAUAACGACAGCGUCCAAAAGUACAUUUUACACUCUUGACCUCGGAUCAGGUAGGGAUACCCGCUGAACUUAAGCAUAUCAAUAAGCGGAGGA
rnacentral:misc_RNA from 1 species